UACAGAGACUGCAAGCGUUAUUCGGAUUCACUGGGCGUAAAGGGUGCGCAGGCGGCCGAGUGUGUGAGGCGUGAAAGCCCGGGGCUUAACCCCGGAAUUGCACCUCAAACUACACGGCUAGAGCAUUGGAGAGGGUAGCAGAAUUCAUGGUGUAGCAGUGAAAUGCGUAGAUAUCAUGAGGAAUACCGGAGGCGAAGGCGGCUACCUGGACAAUUGCUGACGCUCAGGCACGAAAGCGUGGGGAGCAAAAGGG
rnacentral:rRNA from 1 species